CUCUGUGACUCCUACGGGAGGCAGCAGUGGGGAAUAUUGCACAAUGGGGGAAACCCUGAUGCAGCCAUGCCGCGUGUGUGAAGAAGGCCUUCGGGUUGUAAAGCACUUUCAGUAGGAGGAAGGUAGUGUAGUUAACACCUGCAUUAUUUGACGUUACCUACAGAAGAAGCACCGGCUAACUCCGUGCCAGCAGCCGCGGUAAUACGGAGGGUGCGAGCGUUAAUCGGAAUUACUGGGCGUAAAGCGCAUGCAGGCGGCCUGUUAAGUCAGAUGUGAAAGCCCGGGGCUUAACCUCGGAAUUGCAUUUGAAACUGGCAGGCUAGAGUCUUGUAGAGGGGGUAGAAUUUCAGGUGUAGCGGUGAAAAUGCGUAGAGAUCUGAAGGAAUACCAGUGGCGAAGGCGGCCCCCUGGACAAAGACUGACGCUCAGAUGCGAAAGCGUGGGGAGCAAACAGGAUUAGAUACCCUGGUAG
rnacentral:rRNA from 1 species